UUCAAUCAUAAAAGGUGGCUUUUAGCUACCACUUACAGAUGGACCCGCGGCGCAUUAGCUAGUUGGUGAGGUAACGGCUCACCAAGGCGACGAUGCGUAGCCGACCUGAGAGGGUGAUCGGCCACACUGGGACUGAGACACGGCCCAGACUCCUACGGGAGGCAGCAGUAGGGAAUCUUCCGCAAUGGACGAAAGUCUGACGGAGCAACGCCGCGUGAGUGAUGAAGGUUUUCGGAUCGUAAAACUCUGUUGUUAGGGAAGAACAAGUACCGUUCGAAUAGGGCGGUACCUUGACGGUACCUAACCAGAAAGCCACGGCUAACUACGUGCCAGCAGCCGCGGUAAUACGUAGGUGGCAAGCGUUGUCCGGAAUUAUUGGGCGUAAAGCGCGCGCAGGCGGUUUCUUAAGUCUGAUGUGAAAGCCCCCGGCUCAACCGGGGAGGGUCAUUGGAAACUGGGGAACUUGAGUGCAGAAGAGGAGAGUGGAAUUCCACGUGUAGCGGUGAAAUGCGUAGAGAUGUGGAGGAACACCAGUGGCGAAGGCGACUCUCUGGUCUGUAACUGACGCUGAGGCGCGAAAGCGUGGGGAGCGAACAGGAUUAGAUACCCUGGUAGUCCACGCCGUAAACGAUGAGUGCUAAGUGUUAGAGGGUUUCCGCCCUUUAGUGCUGCAGCAAACGCAUUAAGCACUCCGC
rnacentral:rRNA from 1 species